CCGACCUUCGACAACAUCUCUCCGAACCUCUCUGGUAGCCGAGCCUUCGCAACACUCUCAAGUUUUGGCGACGGAUAAGCCCCCACCAGCAUCGGCCGGAUUCUUCACGACGGACGGACUCCACCCAAAUUUCCACGAUGAUCGACCACCUUCUAGACUUCGUCCGGACUCCUACGGGAGCCGGACUCCGCCCACGACUUCACUUGCAGGCAGACUUCG
rnacentral:lncRNA from 1 species